AGUGGGGAAUUUUGCGCAAUGGGGGAAACCCUGACGCAGCAACGCCGCGUGAGUGAUGAAGGCUUUCGGGUCGUAAAGCUCUGUCAGAGGGGAAGAAACUCUUGUGGUCGAACAGGCCACAGGAUUGACGGUACCCUCAAAGGAAGCACCGGCUAACUCCGUGCCAGCAGCCGCGGUAAUACGGAGGGUGCGAGCGUUGUUCGGAAUUAUUGGGCGUAAAGCGCGUGCAGGCGGCCUGUUAAGUCUGAUGUGAAAGCCCGGGGCUCAACCCCGGAAGUGCAUUGGAUACUGGCAGGCUUGAGUACGGGAGAGGGAAGUGGAAUUCCGAGUGUAGGGGUGAAAUCCGUAGAUAUUCGGAGGAACACCGGUGGCGAAGGCGGCUUCCUGGACCGAUACUGACGCUGAGACGCGAAAGCGUGGGGAGCAAACAGGAUUAGAUACCCUGGUAGUCCACGCCGUAAACGAUGGGUACUAGGUGUUGCGGGUAUUUACCCCUGCAGUGCCGAAGCUAACGCAUUAAGUACCCCGCCUGGGGAGUACGGCCGCAAGGCUA
rnacentral:rRNA from 1 species